GGAAAAUGAAGCUCCCACGGGUAUACCUCACGUCUUGUACUUUGAGAGACAGGCUCUCAGCCAACUUUAGAAUGGGCGGAAUUGCGAGAAGCAACUUAGUGGUGCCACAGGUUUUGAUGAUUAUCUUGUAAGAAUAAACGAAGAGGCUCGACUCGGAGAGGACAUAGGAAUCAACAUCGUCAUUUGAUAGGGAAUCAACAAUGGUGCACUCAGCAGGUCCGAGAAUUUCAUCCAAUUGUGCCUUUGAGAGAGAUCGAAGUCCUUUUCCGUUAGGAUCAGCAAACAGACCAGGCUCGAAGAACGAAAUUUCAAGCCUCUUCUCGAAACCUUCAAAACCAAUGGCGGAGACCGGCAAGGCCAUAUCCAUGAUGAAAAAUGUUCACAGCAGCAAAAGAAGUUAAAAGAGGAAAAUGUUCCGAGCAAUGAGCACAAAAGCAGAAAGUAGUAAAAGAAGGAAGAAAAGGAGUGAGGGCGCAAAAGAAACUGAAAGCAGAAAUUUUUUUUUGUUUUUUUUUUUGGGUUGCGUCUAUUGACGCGUUAAGGACGGAA
rnacentral:lncRNA from 1 species